AACGCGAAGAACCUUACCUACUCUUGACAUCCAGAGAACUUAGCAGAGAUGCUUUGGUGCCUUCGGGAACUCUGAGACAGGUGCUGCAUGGCUGUCGUCAGCUCGUGUUGUGAAAUGUUGGGUUAAGUCCCGCAACGAGCGCAACCCUUAUCCUUUGUUGCCAGCGAUUCGGUCGGGAACUCAAAGGAGACUGCCGGUGAUAAACCGGAGGAAGGUGGGGAUGACGUCAAGUCAUCAUGGCCCUUACGAGUAGGGCUACACACGUGCUACAAUGGCGCAUACAAAGAGAAGCGACCUCGCGAGAGCAAGCGGACCUCAUAAAGUGCGUCGUAGUCCGGAUCGGAGUCUGCAACUCGACUCCGUGAAGUCGGAAUCGCUAGUAAUCGUGGAUCAGAAUGCCACGGUGAAUACGUUCCCGGGUCUUGUACACACCG
rnacentral:rRNA from 1 species